GAUGAACGCUGGCGGCGUGCUUAACACAUGCCAGUCGAACGAUGAAGCCCAGCUUGCUGGGUGGAUUAGUGGCGAACGGGUGAGUAACACGGGAGUAACCUGCCCUUAACUCUGGGAUAAGCCUGGGAAACUGGGGCUAAUACCGGAUAGGAGCGUCCACCGCAUGGUGGGGGUGGGAAAGAUUUAUCGGGGUUGGAUGGACUCGCGGCCUAUCAGCUUGUUGGUGAGGUAAUGGCUCACCAAGGCGACGUCGGGUAGCCGGCCUGAGAGGGUGACCGGCCACACUGGGACUGAGACACGGCCCAGACUCCUACGGGAGGCAGCAGUGGGGAAUAUUGCACAAUGGGCGCAAGCCUGAUGCAGCGACGCCGCGUGAGGGAUGACGGCCUUCGGGUUGUAAACCUCUUUCAGUCGGGAAGAAGCGAAAGUGACGGUACCUGCAGAAGAAGCACCGGCUAACUACGUG
rnacentral:rRNA from 1 species